GUGCUAUUCUUUCUCACCAUGGUCUUAAUGUCAAAAAUCUACGUGGUCAAGAUUAUGAUGGGGCGAGUAACAUGCGAGAUGAAUGGAAGGGAUUGCAGGCAUUAUUUUUCAAUGAAUGCCCCUAUGCAUAUUAUGUGCAUUACAUGACUCAUCAAUUAUAGUUGACUUUAGUUACAGCUACUAAAGAAGUGUUUGUUGUUCAUGAUUUUUUUUUUUGAAUUUAACUUUUGCCGUUAAUACUGUA
rnacentral:lncRNA from 1 species